CAAUUCAGUACAGAUAUUCUGAGAGCCAGAACAAACAUCCUCUUAUCAAUGGUCCAUUGAAGACCAAUGGAACCUUCUUUAUUUUCUUUCUCUCUUUCUCUUUUUUUAAAAGAACUUUACACCAACCGCAAGCAAAAUUUGAUGUAAACACACAGCCACCGUGUUGUAUGGUAUUUGCGCCAACAGCAUUCCAAUUGCCAGGGAAAGAAUGUGGUGCCUUCAGAAAAACUGAGACGAUCUCGAAUAUUUCAGAGGUGAGCUUUUAUUUCCAGUGCUAUUGCUGCCACACAACAAAACCUGUUAAGAACAGUCUGAAAUCUGCAACAUCAGAUUUUACAAAAGCAACUAAUUUCCUCAGCAACCACAAUUAAAAAUAUCGAUUCCUGGAGGAUAUUGUGCUCUUUGUUUUCCUUCCAGAAAAAAGGAGGAAAUGAAAGAAAGGGUACAUGGUCCUUUUUGAUGGGUACUACUAGGAUUAUUGUCUGAAAGAAUCCACAACUGUCCUUUUCUUCUGACUAAUGGUGCCUUCACUCCUCCUCUUUUGAAGGCAAAGGAACACCAGCAAGAGUUUCUCCUGGUGAUGUGAAGCACACAAAACAGUAAUGGCAAUGGAUCACUUGUUUGGAGAAUGAGGCCCCUGAGACAUUUUGGAUAUCUGAAAUGUAAAGCGUAUGUAGAAGAAAACCACAUCUGUACAUUGAGGCAUUUUGGAUAUCUUGAGUCUAGGAAGUGUGUUACCAGCCAUGCAAAGGAAACCACAUCUGCGCAUAUAGCAGACAACUAAGUAAGCAUUUUUGCACAGGAAUACUUGACCUCAGGGACUGCAGGUGGCGCGGUGGUUUAAACCACUGGCUGAUCGAAAGGUCGCCAGUUUCAAUCUGCACAACAGGGUAAGCUCCUGUACUCCGUCCCAGCUCCUGCCAACCAUGCAGUUCGAAAGCAUGCAAAUGCAAGUAGAUGAAAAGGUACCACUUCGGUGGGAAGGUAACAGCGUUCCUUGCACUUCGGAGUUUAGUCAUGCCGGCCACAUGACCACGGAAACAGUCUGCGGACGAAUGCUGGCUCCUCGGCCAGGAAACGGAGAUGAGCACCACCCCCUAGAGUCAGCCAUGACUGGACUUCAUGUCAAGGGGAAACCUUUACCUUUACCUUUUUACUUGACCUCAUUGUGUCAAGUACUCCAGCACCUUGUGUUCUGGUGCUUAGUCUGCAGAUUCCCUGAUUGUCUCCAGCACAGACAAUGGUGGCCAAAGUAUUUGAGCUUCAGCUUCAGUGUCUGUCCUUCUAAAGAGCAGUCAGGGUUGAUUUUCUUUAAGAUUGACUGGUUUGAUCUCUUUGUGGUCCAAAGGACUCUCAGGAGUCUUCUCCAGCACCACAAUUCAAAGGUGUCAAUUCUUCAGCCAUCAGCCUUCUUUAUGACCCAUGAUGAAGAAUACAUUGAUUUAAAAAGAAAGAACAUUUGGAAACAUUCUCAGAGGUGAGGUUCUGGGCUCUUGUUAUAAUCCUUAGUUAUAUAGUGGCCCAAGAGAGUGUGUGUGUGUUUUCUAUGUUCCAUUGUCCUAUCAUUUAUCCCAUGGACUGCAGCCUCCUUGGCUUCCUGCAUUUCAAUUAAGCCCUAGCAGAAGUUAUCAUGUGGUAACCCUUGUGGAAGACAAGAGCAGCCAGGGUUUCCCCAUUUGAAAAAUGAAUCGAACUACAGAAACGAGCUUUUCUAGAGCUCACUCUAGGAGAAAAAAACGGUAUAUUCAUAUUAUUGUCCUGAAGGCAUUUUCAGACUGCACCCAUGGCUUUAUACAUGUUAAAUCUGCCAUUCUCAUAAAAUGGGGAAAAGAUGCAGUGAAAAAGUUAUAAUUACCACCAAAAAUUAUAAUGGUAGUAAUAGGGAAUCUGGUGCUUGAAUGUUUUUAUUUUUUCUACGCAGAGCUAUAAAUCCUAACAUCUGCAGUUGUUGCAACUUGUUCCAAAGCAGCACAACUGAAAUAACUUCUAAGUAAGUGCAAUCCAGCAUGGAAUAGCUGCUAUCCACAGAGCCAAGUGUAAAAAACUGUAUCAGGAGUUUUCAACUCCGGCAUACUGAACUUCACCUGCACUUUUGUCGCAUAGGUAUUCUGUUGAAAUAAUUAAAAGAUCAUUGUGCUUCACGGGGGCUGGACCAUUCCCAUAGUUAAGGUGAUUAAUGUUGGGAAAUGACACUUUUGUAGUCCAAUUCAUUAAAACACACACAUACAAUACG